rnacentral:rRNA from 1 species
GACGAACGCUGGCGGCGUGCCUAAUACAUGCAAGUUGAGCGCUGAAGGUUGGUACUUGUACCGACUGGAUGAGCAGCGCACGGGUGAGUAACGCGUGGGGAAUCUGCCUUUGAGCGGGGGACAACAUUUGGAAACGAAUGCUAAUACCGCAUAAAAACUUUAAACACAAGUUUUAAGUUUGAAAGAUGCAAUUGCAUCACUCAAAGAUGAUCCCGCGUUGUAUAGCUAGUUGGUGAGGUAAAGGCUCACCAAGGCGAUGAUACAUAGCCGACCUGAGAGGGUGAUCGGCCACAUUGGGACUGAGACACGGCCCAAACUCCUACGGGAGGCAGCAGUAGGGAAUCUUCGGCAAUGGACGAAAGUCUGACCGAGCAACGCCGCGUGAGUGAAGAAGGUUUUCGGAUCGUAAAACUCUGUUGGUAGAGAAGAACGUUGGUGAGAGUGGAAAGCUCAUCAAGUGACGGUAACUACCCAGAAAGGGACGGCUAACUACGUG